GAUUUCUGGUGUGGUGCGCCGAGCCCGUCUCUUAUGGAGAUGAGUGCUUGUGUGUGCCUGCCAUACUUCGGUGAGGGUGCCAUCGGUGGGUCAAACCAUUGGUGCGUUUCACACUCCCGAUCGUUUACUUUGAAAAAAUUAGAGUGUUUAAAGCAGGCUGACGCUAUGAAUACAUUAGCAUGGAAUAAUAAGAUAGGACUUCGGUUCUAUUUUGUUGGUUUCUAGGACUGAAGUAAUGAUUGAUAGGGACAGUUGGGGGUGCUAGUAUUUAACGGCCAGAGGUGAAAUUCUUGGAUUCGUUAAAGACUAACUUAUGCGAAAGCAUU
rnacentral:rRNA from 1 species